GGUAGGGAGGGUUCUGUCAGGUACUACUCCCUUCCUUAAUGAGCAGGAGGCACCUCUCUGGCUGGGAUUGGAUUUGCCAAUACUGACAGAACCAGGGCUGCUCACACAGCGCAUGGUCCAGGAGGAGAGGCACCCAGAGGGAUCACACGAGUGAGAUCGAGCUGGGAUUUGGUUCUUGUCCUUCACAAGCAGAAGGUGCUUUGGGCGCUGCGUGCUGCAUGCCAGCGGAUGAGAUACGGCCCGCGUCCCGCCCGGCCCUGCCAGGGGCAGCGCCGGCCCCAUCCCCACGGCCACGGCCAGAGCUGCCUGUGUGGGAAGGGGAAAUUGCUCCCACGGCAAAGGGAAAUAAACAUGAGGAGAGCAGCCCUGACAAAAAGCGUGUGUUCCUCUGCUCUGGGGCCCCGCUGCAGGCAAGGCCCGUGCACUGAGGCUGGGGAUGAGGGAGCGGAAGCUGGGCCUGCAGUGAUGUCUGCAAACUCCCUCUCAUUUACAGGGGUCCCUCCCUCCAGCUCUCAGCUCUCAGUGCCGAGAAAUCAGAGGAACCAGUGCCAGGGAGCUGUGGGGCAUGGAAAAGGUCUAACUGCCCAAAGCAUGGAGCCCAGCAGCUUGCCCGAAUGCUGGAAGGAGAAGGCAGCUCCGAUGCUGCUGCAGCUUCCCCGGCUGCCAGGGGAAGUAAUAGAAUCACCCAGGUUGGAGAAGAUCACCUGUAAGAUCAUCGAGUCAGUGCCUCCACAGGUCACGUCUCCUGCUGUCACAUCCUGCUGCCAGGUCACCUCCUGUGCCUGCUCCCUGUCCCUGGAAGCCCGGCAGUCACCUCGCUCAGUGGAUGCAGUGGAUGCUCAGUGUCUGAUGAUUUUGCUGCAGGCAUACCAUCUGCGCGUAUCAAAGCUGAGCCACCUCUUAUCUCCUGGUGGUUCCUGCCUGCUCCCAGCCCGUGAAUCCUGGCUGCAGGGUGUUUGCACUGCUUCCCCAGCCCUGUGGGCUGUGGUGGACUUGGGGUGCCAGAUUCAGGGUGAGGGGCACGCCAGGGCAGGUCUCUGGGGUGCAGGUUGGAAGGGCCAGCACAGACAGCCCUGUCUGCCAGGAGGAUGCUGGUCAUUGCUGUAAGGUCAACCUUAAAUAAUGGGAAUAAUAAAAAUAAGGCUGCCUGCA
rnacentral:lncRNA from 1 species